rnacentral:rRNA from 1 species
UGUGUAGGCGGUUGUUUAAGUUUGGUGUGAAAUCUCCCGGCUCAACCGGGAGGGUGCGCCGAAUACUGAGCGACUUCGAGUGCGGGAGAGGAAAGUGGAAUUCCUGGUGUAGCGGUGAAAUGCGUAGAUAUCAGGAGGAACACCGGUGGUGUAGACGGCUUUCUGGACCGUAACUGACGCUGAAACACGAAAGCGUGGGUAGCAAACAGGAUUAGAUACCCUGGUAGUCCACGCCCUAAACGAUGCACAUUUGGUGUGGGUCAUUCAGUUGAUCCGUGCCGGAGCUAACGCGUUAAAUGUGCCGCCUGGGGAGUACAGUCGCAAGGCUAGAA